CUCCAGCAAAAAGGCAAGCCUUGACGCGGCGCUGGAGCUUAUCCACUAAUUGCCU
rnacentral:ribozyme from 1 species